rnacentral:lncRNA from 1 species
GAUUCCUCUUUCUCAUUCUUCUCUAUCUCCGACCUCCUCCUUCUCCCUACUCCAACAGGUUUAGAAGGGACUCAUGGGAGGCAGGCUGAUUAGGCAGUGGGAACGACGGGAGGAGGACGUUAGGGUUUUGGCGCGGCUAGGGACAAGUCAGGGCGAGGGCACCCAUAACCACAACAGUGGUAGAGGAGAAGGAGGAGGGAGGAGGAGACCGUCGUGGGUGUGGUAGGGUCUUGUCGGAGCAGCUGCGGCCUCGAUGGCGGUGCUCCGGAAAGACCCUACCAUACCGCGGCAAGGCGCGUCGAGAGGAGAAAAAGAUGUGAAGAAGAAAUUGGGUGUUGAGAGUGCGUGUAACGCCCAGAGUGCUGCGUGGACAGCUCCCAAAAGGUGAUGGUGUGGAUUAGUAAUGACCUCUUGUUGGACGCGCUGCUUUGCGGACGCCGCGUCAGUCGCUCUUACGAGGAGGUAGAUCCUGCUCACAUCAGGCUGCACCCGUACUAUCUUCUCCACAAGAACUGCACGAACAAGAUCAUCCAUUAUUCGUUCAUCACAUGCAGGUCAUCAAGCUUUGAUAGAAGAUGUGCUCCUGUCGAGCUAGUGAUGAUAGUACACAUACUCUUUCCAAGAAAGCCAGUUGAGCCGGUGAUGAGGAUGGUCUUCCCCUUGAAAUAGCCUAUGAUCCUCGCCGCGUCCAUGCUAUCCAUCA